CCUACGGGUGGCAGCAGUGAGGAAUAUUGGUCAAUGGGCGCGAGCCUGAACCAGCCAAGUCGCGUGAGGGAAGACGGUCCUAUGGAUUGUAAACCUCUUUUGUCGGGGAGCAAAAGACGCCACGCGUGGCGUUCCGAGAGUACCCGAAGAAUAAGCAUCGGUUAACUCCGUGCCAGCAGCCGCGGUAAUACGGAGGAUGCGAGCGUUAUCCGGAUUUAUUGGGUUUAAAGGGUGCGCAGAGGGAAGAUCAAGUCAGCGGUAAAAUUGAGAGGCUCAACCUCUUCGUGCCGUUGAAACUGGUUGUCUUGAGUGAGCGAGAGGUAUGCGGAAUGCGUGGUGUAGCGGUGAAAUGCAUAGAUAUCACGAAGAACUCCGAUUGCGAAGGCAGCAUACCGGCGCUUAACUGACGCUGAUGCACGAAAGUGUGGGUAUCGAACAGGAUUAGAUACCCCAGUAGUC
rnacentral:rRNA from 1 species